ensembl:lncRNA
AGAUGGUGGAGCAGGACUCCUGAGCAAAGGAGCCAUAAGAAAGAGGAGAUCUCAGCGGAAGAGAUGGAAGCUGAUGGCCCAGAGGUUGUAUGAUGGGUGACAGGUUUUAGAGAGAUUGGAAACAUUUCCCAAAGCUGAUCAGCAAGCAAACAGCAGAGUCAGGACUGCAUUUCUGGCAUCUGACUCUGAAUCCACACUCUUGACACACAGACCACCUCCAGCAGCCUACCCUUGGGAAGGCCUGACACAUGGUUGUCUAACUUUCUGAUGAAGAAAAGUGCAAGUGUCACUCCCUCAGUCGUGUCCGACUCUUUGCAACCUCAUGGACUGCAGUCCACCAUGCUCCUCUGUCCAUGGAAUUCUCCAGACAAAGAGAAUCCCUUGACGUGUUCUCAACAAGGAAAAGACACAAACAGAUUGCCAUAUUGAACCUACCCAGGUUCUACAUGGUGG